GAUCAUGGCUCAGGAUGAACGCUGACGGCGUGCUUAACACGUGCAAGUCGAGCGAAGCAAUUUAAGUGAAGUUUUCGGAUUGGAUCUUUAGAUUGACUGAGCGGCGGACGGGUGAGUAACGCGUGGAUAACCUGCCUCACACAGGGGGAUAACAGUUAGAAAUGACUGCUAAUACCGCAUAAGCGCACGGUACCGCAUGGUGCAGUGUGAAAAACUCCGGUGGUGUGAGAUGGA
rnacentral:rRNA from 1 species